UGGGGAAUAUUGGACAAUGGGCGAAAGCCUGAUCCAGCCAUGCCGCGUGAGUGAAGAAGGCCUUCGGGUUGUAAAGCUCUUUUACCAGGGACGAUAAUGACGGUACCUGGAGAAUAAGCCCCGGCAAACUUCGUGCCAGCAGCCGCGGUAAUACGAAGGGGGCUAGCGUUGUUCGGAUUUACUGGGCGUAAAGGGCGCGUAGGCGGCAUGACAAGUCACUUGUGAAAUCUCUGGGCUUAACCCCAGAACGGCCAAGUGAUACUGUCGCGCUAGAGUGCAGAAGGGGCAAUCGGAAUUCUUGGUGUAGCGGUGAAAUGCGUAGAUAUCAAGAGGAACACCUGAGGUGAAGACGGGUUGCUGGGCUGACACUGACGCUGAGGCGCGAAAGCCAGGGGAGCAAACGGGAUUAGAUACCCAGGUAGUCCCUGAGCGGGCUGGCAAGGCGCAU
rnacentral:rRNA from 1 species